UAACGGGAACUGCGUCUGCUCAUCGA
rnacentral:sRNA from 1 species